UCAGAUCAUAUCAUAUCCUGCUUUCUAUAUAUUACAACAACGUUGCUGUUUAGCCAAAAAGUAUAAUUAACAGAAUAUAACUAUCUAUUUAUAGAUCUAUUAUUAUAAGAAAGGGGAUAGCUCAACUUGUAAGCAGGGUUCACCUCUGCUACUCCCUUGAUACGCAGCAAAUUACCACUUCAAGUAGUUCUCAGAACUUAAUGUACAACAGAAAGGGAUAAAAAACUACCUACGCUGACCUCAAAACCAAGUCCCUGCGAAAAAGCGUGCCUGGAGAGUAAUCUGCCAGGACUACAGAAACUGGUAGAGGCGUAAUAUCCCGGCCCCAUGAGAAAGAGCAAGGAAACGACUAGAGAAUAACUUAAUAACGUCGAGGGAUAUUACAUUUUAUUUAAUUAAGGGCACAGUCACUACCCCUGUCAAGGAGGGAGGCAGACGCCGGGCAAAUCAACUCUAAUUAUUCUCAAAAUAUGUCAAUUAUUAUAGAAGAGGUAUUACAAUAAUGCUAAGGCAUGUAAAGUUUAUCCCAAUAAAUAAACUUAAUUAAACGUCACAGUA